AGAAUAAUAAACCAAGCUCAUGCAAUAGACAAUCUGCUUCUAUAAUGUGCUAACAUUUCUGUGUUGUGGCACGCAGUAUAUAUUCUAAUCUCAUUACUUAUGUGGAUUUCUUCCAUAGACCUCUCUUACUGUAUUCCCCAAUGUUUAUUGUAAUUUUCUGAAGAAAAAGUCCAUCUGCUACUUCAUUGAAUCAACAGACAUUAAUAGAGUCCUUAUUAAGUGCCAAGCAAGUGCUGUGCCAGACUCUGAAGUUGCAAAGAUUUGAGUGUUUCUGCUAUUUCCUCCAUUACCAUCACUAAAGAAAAUGCUGCUGCUGCCUCUCAUAAAAAUGAGGAUAACGCUGGAUAACAUUUAUUGAGUGCUUACCUCCUCCCAGACAUGAGCAGCUGUUUGCAACCAGUAACGUCCACCAUGCCCUUCUUUCCUUGGAGCCAGUCAACUAUGAACCAUAUCCUCUAAAAACUGUGAGGCAAAAUUAACCUCUGCUUCAAUUGAUGUCAGGCAUUUUGUCCCAGUGAAGAGAAAGUGACUAAUACUUGAAAAAUAAAAAGAAGGCAUGCUGCUUGAACCAGUUUUUUUUUUAUUAAUUGUAAUAAACUCCAUAGGACCAAUUUUAUUUUCUCACAUGUUGGAGUGAUUAUUUUGGCAUUUUCACUUCAAAAAUUUCUAUGCCAUUUUCCCCCAUCUGUAAGAAUCAGUUGUUACAGAAUAUUUAAAUAUUUCUGAAAUUAGCACAUACUUCAUAUCUUGAAGCAUUUUGGAUUUGAAUAAUUAAAGGCACCUGCCACAUUCUAGAUCCAAUUUGCAAGUCCUGGAAUGAUUCAGUUCCUUUUGUUACACUGCUAUCACAUAUGCUCAAGAUAUCAGGCCUGUGUUUGAGAAGUAGCUGGCAAGAAUUUUUCCCCCUGUGCAGAUGGUCUCUUCACUCUGUUGGUGGUUAAAGAGGCUACCUUUCCUCCAGUGAAGAGAUUUGGCCCCUUUGUCAAGGAUAACAUAGCUGAGUGUGCCUGGAGUUGUUUCUGUAUCUUCCAUUCUGUUCUGUUGAUCUUGCUGGGGAUCAAGCUCUGAAAAGAAGGCUUAAUAUGGACAGGACCCUCACAUAAAAUGAAAGAGAUAUCCAUCCCACCAAAUGAACAGAUAUCAAUAUAGAAACACAAAAGUAGGCAAAAAUGAAGCAGUAUAACUCCAUCAAAUGCCUAUAAUUUGUCAGUAACUGAAAGCAAACAUAUCAAAGUGGAUGAAAUCUCAAAGAAAACAAAAGAUUGAUCUGUAAAAUGAUUAAUGACUUCAAAGAAGAUACAAAUAAAUGACUGAAUGAAUUAAGGAGGAUAAUGCAGAAUAUGAAGGAGCAAUUCAACAAAGAGAUAGGGAUUCUGAAGAAGAACCAAACAGAAAUUCUGGAAAUAAAAAAGCACAAUAAGUCAAAUUUAAAAACUCAGUGAAAAGCCUCAUCAAUAGAUGAGACCAAGCAGAAGAUAAGAAUUCAGGGCUUGAUGAUAAGGUUGAGAAAUUAGUACAGGCAGACACUAAUAGAAAAAAAUAUUAUAAACAAAAUAUCCAAGAACUCUGAGAUGCAGUUGAAAAAACAAAUGUACAAAUGUUGGGUGUGGAACAGGCUACAUAGAUACAAACUAAUGAUUAUUCAG
ensembl:lncRNA